AUACGGAUGAUCCGAGCGUUAUCCGGAUUUAUUGGGUUUAAAGGGUGCGCAGGCGGCCAUUUAAGUCAGCGGUUAAAUCGUGGGGCUCAACCCCAUUCUUCCGUUGAUACUGGGUGGCUUGAUUGGGGGCGGGGUUGGCGGAAUUCGCUGUGUAGCGGGGGAAUGAAUAGAUAUGACGAAGAACACCGAUUGCGUAGGCAGCUGACCAGAUCGCAAAUGACGCUCAUGCACGAAUGUGCGGGGAUCGAACAGGAUUAGAUUCCCUGGUAGUCCGCACAGUAAACGAUGAAUACUUGUUUUCGGUGAUAUAAUGUCGGAGGCAAAGCGAAAGCGAUAAGUAUUCCACCUGGGGAGUACGCCGGCAACGGUGAAACUCAAAUGAAUUGGCGGGG
rnacentral:rRNA from 1 species